CAUGCGGGUGCUACCAUGCAAGUCGAACGUGAUCCGCCCUUCGGGGUGGUGAAAGUGGCGCACGGGUGAGUAACGCGUGGAUAAUCUGCCCGAGGAUUUGGGAUAACAUCUCGAAAGGGGUGCUAAUACCGAAUAAGCCCACGGGGUCUACGGAUCUUGCGGGAAAAGGGGGGGACCUUCGGGCCUCCUGUCCUUGGAUGAGUCUGCGUACCAUUAGCUAGUUGGUGGGGUAAUGGCCUACCAAGGCGACGAUGGUUAGCUGGUCUGAGAGGAUGAUCAGCCACACUGGAACUGAGACACGGUCCAGACUCCUACGGGAGGCAGCAGUGGGGAAUUUUGCGCAAUGGGGGAAACCCUGACGCAGCAACGCCGCGUGGGUGAUGAAGGCCUUCGGGUCGUAAAGCUCUGUCUGGAGGGAAGAAAUGAUUGGGAGCUAAUACCUCUUGAUCUUGACGGUACCUCUGAAGGAAGCACCGGCUAACUCCGUGCCAGCAGCCGCGGUAAUACGGAGGGUGCAAGCGUUGUUCGGAAUUAUUGGGCGUAAAGCGCGUGUAGGCGGUCUUUUAAGUCUGAUGUGAAAGCCCCGGGCUCAACCUGGGAAGUGCAUUGGAAACUGGGAGGCUUGAGUACGGGAGAGGAGAGUGGAAUUCCUAGUGUAGGAGUGAAAUCCGUAGAUAUUAGGAGGAACACCGGUGGCGAAGGCGGCUCUCUGGACCGAUACUGACGCUGAGACGCGAAAGCGUGGGUAGCAAACAGGAUUAGAUACCCUGGUAGUCCACGCCGUAAACGAUGAGUACUAGUGUUGCGGGUAUUGACCCCU
rnacentral:rRNA from 1 species